CUGCAUUGAAAGCUAAACAUGAAAUGGCACACUUUAAAGCAGCCCCAGAAGAGAAGUUUUUUUUUUUUUUUGCCCCUGGAAUGGGGCCAUUGUCUUUUCUAGUUACAAUCCACGUGGAAAGAGCAAAUUUGUUUCUGACAGUGCGAAUGGCAACGUCUGGAGUCUGGCCUUCUACCCUGAGCCUUGGCCUCCUCUCUCAAAAGCAGAAGAAAUACUGUGUAGGAAAUGCUAAACGGCGAAAGGGUGUGACCCUACAAAGCACAGGGCAACGCGACUGGCACUGUGCACAUAAGUUCAUCGUGUUGGUCUAAACAAAAGACACUGGCUUCUCUCUCAGUCCUUCUGGGUUGGUGACUGUUCAUUUACAAGACCUAAGAAACCCACGGCCAUAUCUUAUGCCAUUGAAAUUUUGUGCGCUUUUAAAAAAUUGUAUUGAGAUAGCCGUAACACAAAACUUGUCAUUUAAACCGUUUUUAAUUAUAGAUAUAGUUUAAAGA
rnacentral:lncRNA from 1 species